rnacentral:rRNA from 1 species
UACGUAGGGGGCAAGCGUUGUCCGGAAUCACUGGGCGUAAAGCGCGCGCAGGCGGCCAUUUGCGUCCGGGGUGAAAGCCCGAAGCUCAACUUCGGGAUUGCCUUGGAUACGGAGUGGCUUGAGGAUCGGAGAGGCAAGGGGAAUUCCACGUGUAGCGGUGAAAUGCGUAGAGAUGUGGAGGAACACCUGUGGCGAAGGCGCCUUGCUGGCCGAUUUCUGACGCUGAGGCGCGAAAGCGUGGGGAG